rnacentral:rRNA from 1 species
UACAGAGGUCUCAAGCGUUAUCCGGAUUCACUGGGUUUAAAGGGUGCGUAGGCGGGCAGGUAAGUCAGUGGUGAAAUCUCCGGGCUUAACCCGGAAACUGCCGUUGAUACUAUCUGUCUUGAAUAUCGUGGAGGUAAGCGGAAUAUGUCAUGUAGCGGUGAAAUGCUUAGAUAUGACAUAGAACACCCAUUGCGAAGGCAGCUUACUACACGAUCAUUGACGCUGAGGCACGAAAGCGUGGGGAGCAAACAGG